ACUGCGGGACUUCAUCACUCAAAGUCAAUAUUCUUAGUUGAGUAUUAUGCAAAGAAAAAUACAUAAAUGUUUUGAUUUGUAUUAUGUUCGUUUUGCUAGAAAUAUUAAUUUUUCAUGUUGAUGAUAAUACCAUAAUUAUGUAACGCAGAUGAGAUUUGACGAAAUUCACAAUGUAGACAGUAUGUAGAAUUCAAUGUAGACAAUUCAGAGUAGACAAUGUAGAAUUCAAUGUAGAAACAAUCGAAAGACGAUAUUUGAAGAUUAGCACAAAUAAGUAGUGACGGAACUGAUAUCUUUAUUCCAGCUAUCGCUAGAUGCCCUUUAAUACAAAAACGAAUUUGUAAGAUUUGCACCUUGCCUUUCACUAAGUCAUCAGAUUUAAUAAUAUUGAACUGACUUCCAUCUUUAUACUACUAUAUAGGUGACAAAAAUUAACUAUCAUGAAUUCUUGUCUUCUGAUGGAUUAUUAUUUUUGUUAGCUAUCUUCGUUUUGUGAUGAACUGUAUUGAUUUUUAUGCAAACUACCUUCGCCUUGUGACGGAUAACUGUUUGUGCUUGUUAUCCCUAAUUGUAAAUUAAUCACACGAUUUUAAUGAACUUCUUUUGCUUUGGAUAUUCUUCCGACAACAUCCUUUUUUUGCGGAUACAUUUUCGUCAUCAGAGAAAGAAAUAAUUUCAGCCAUUAUAUCACAUCCAGCAGCAAUAAAACAA